rnacentral:lncRNA from 1 species
CCCCGCCCCAGCUCGCCCGGCCCCUCGGAGCGGCCUCGCUGCCCCGCCUCCCCCCUCCCCGGGCUCGAAAAUAAAUUAGCCACCCGGGGGGAAAAAGAGCAAAUGACCCUCGGUGUGAGAGUGUCCUUGCGCCACUCUCAGGCCGCUCGCCCGCUCCCGCCUCCCCUGCCGUCGGAGCGGGAAGCUGCGCUGGGGGUGGAGGCCGGACGGGCGCGGAGGCCAGGGUUGAGCUCCAGGCUGCCGUGAGUGGCCGCUGGCUGUGAGCCGCUUCCUGGGUCGAAGGGCAAAGGGGAAGGCGGCCGGCCCGGCCGGGCCCGCCCCGUCCGCUGACUGGCCAAGACCAGGACGCCUGUGGACUCUCGUCUGCGUCCAGGACUCGGACACUCUGUCCGUCUGCCGUCUCAUUGGUUGGUUGAAGACUGUGCCUCCUGAUCAACGCUUGACUCCGCCCAAAGAAGUACCACCCCUCUUCUCCUGCUCAAGGACAGCCGGAAUGACUCUGCAAACCGAGAAAGAUCUAG